CGGGCUAUCGUCUAGUGGUUAGGACAUUAGACUUUCACUCUAAGAAUGUAGGUUCGAAUCCUGCUAGCCCGA
rnacentral:tRNA from 1 species